rnacentral:rRNA from 1 species
AUUGAACGCUGGCGGCAGGCUUAACACAUGCAAGUCGAGCGGGGAAAUAUAGCUUGCUAUAUGACCUAGCGGCGGACGGGUGAGUAAUGCUUAGGAAUCUGCCUACUAGUGGGGGACAACUUUUCGAUAGGGAUGCUAAUACCGCGUACGCGCUACGGGGGAAAGCAGGGGAUCUUCGGACUUUGCCCUAAUAGCUGAGCCUAAGUCGGAUUAGCUAGUUGGUGUGGUAAAGGCCUACCAAGGCGACGAACUGUCGCGGGUCUGAGAGAAUGAUCGGCCAAACUGGGACAGUGACACGGCCCAGACUCCUACGGGAGGCAGAAAUGGGGAAUAUUGGACAAUGGGGGGAACCCUGAUCCAGCCAUGCCGCGUGUGUGAAGAAGGCCUUUUGGUUGUAAAGCACUUUAAGCGAGGAGGAGGCUCCUGUAGAUGAUACCUACAGUGAGUGGACGUUACUCGCAGAAUAAGCACCGGCUAACUCUGUGCCAGCAGCCGCGGUAAGAC